CUGAGGCUUCAUGGCCAAUUUCUGAAAAUCUAGUACUUAGAAAAUAGGUAUCAAGCAUCAUUCACAAGAAAGUAGCCUCAAUUCUGUUUUAAAAACAGAGACAGAAAUACUCAUAAUUAUCUGUCAGGAGGGAAGGACAGUAACCCUGGUAAGGAAGACAUGUGGUACACAUUGGGAAGAAAGAAAAGCAAGAGCAGGGCAGUGGAAUAUUUGUGGGGAAUAACAAUGAGAGGGCAGUUGUUGGCCAGAAAAUGGUUUAGCACAUAGCACCAUCUCAGAGGAUCAAACUCUUAUUGCUGAGACCUCAGCCAGAACAGUAUAGUCAUGGAUAUAUUACCAAUCCUUUUAGGAGGAUGGUCUACCAAAAGUGUAUUUUGUGUGAUGGUGGAAAGGGAAGGGGUAGUAAAAAAGUCUCUGACUUUCUAUGGAAUUCAAACUCUUUUUGUGAUGUUUACUGUGCAAAUAACAUUCCUAGGUUUUGAAGCUUUUUGAACCUGAAUGUUUUAAGAGGACCAGCUGGUCAGUCUUUGCAGGUGCAAGAUAUUGCAUUCCUCGUGUUCUUAUUGUGUGGGGAUAAAUCAGAGAAAUGAGAGAUUCCCCCCAAAAUACUUGGAUCCUUUGUGUUAGAAGGAAGUCCAUGUCACAUUGUUAGGAUCAUUCAUUUUGAACUGGAAGGGGCCUUAGAGAUGAUCUACUUCAUUCUCCUCAUUUUUCACAUGAGAAAUCAAUUAAUAAACAUUUAUUAAAUACCUAUUAUGGGCCAGGCACUGUGCUAAGCAAUGAGGGUGUACAAAGAAGUAAAAGACAGCCCCUUCCUUCAAGAAGCUUACAAUGUAAUGGGGAAACAAAGUUCAAGUAACUUGCCUGAAAUCACACAGGUACCAUGUGACUGAAGCAGGAUUUAAAUAGAGGUCCUUUGGCUCCAAAUACAGAGUUUUUCUCACUAUACCAUUAUUGUAUUUGCUUCACAUCAGAAUUAAAGUGUACUAUAGUGGGAGAGUUAAGAGUUAAUCUAAUGGUAAAGAAAGAGGUAAGGAAGAAGACACGGAGAUUGAAGAGAGACAGUACACAGUCAAUAUGGGAAUCUGGAAGGAUGUAGGAGAUUCAUUUGUCUACUGCCUGAAUGUGUCUUGCUCUUCAGAAGAGAUUUUAGGCAAAUUAUAAAAGGAAUAGUAUCUAUAAUCUAGAUAGGAAGUGACUGAGGUAUGAGGUAUGAGUAACAAAAGCUGAGGGCAGAGCCAACAGAAGGGUGGAUCCUGGGGACUUUUUUGCCAAUAAUGAAUUGAGAUUUAUAGCAAGGAAGGUUCUCAGUACAAUGAAUAGCUACUAUAUUUUUUUUUAUUCUUGGAGGAAAAAAAAGUUCAGGUCUUAUUUAAGCAACACAUCAGCAAACAUGAAAAAUACACGUAAUAUCCUGAACCUAACAAUAUAUUAUAUACACAACAUCCAUGCGAAGCCAAAAACUUAGUGGGAGAGAAACUAAUGUAAGGUUGAUGAUAAAUCAAUCCAAAAAAACUUGGCCAAAAGUUAAGACGUGUCUAUGUUUGGCCCACAGGCUAUUAAACUGACAGUUGUUUGUUCAUAAGGAAAAAGAGAUCACUUUUAAUUCAAGUAAAUGCGUGGUAAAGAAAAGAGGAAAAGCCUGGUGCCUCUCUCACUUUUAGAAUGGCAUGAAAGGGAAAUAGAAAAUGAGAAGAUGGGAAGAGAGCCACUAACUAAAUAAAAUAGAAAUCUCCUAGACCUAAACCAUCAAACUGGAAAUGCCAGGAAUACAAUUAACAAGGAUAUAUUACAUCACUAGCCCCAAGAUUUUAUAAGGGCAAGAGAAGCAAACUACAGGGAAAAAAUGGGUUAUGAAACCUCUUAAUAUUGGCAUUGAGUGAAAAAGGUAUUCCGGUUUCUGAUGAAAACUUUUGGUUAUUUCCUUUAAACCAGUAGGAUGGAAGGAAUUGUCUGCUAUGGUUUAAAUUUCUCUCCAGAGUAACUGAAACCAAAUUCCAAGACUGUAAAUGUAAUAUUUGCAAGGAAUAGAGGCAGAGAAUUGUGAAAGUACAGCAGCAGCUCCGGGAAGGGUAAAGGAAAGAACCCACUUUUUAUUAUAAAAGAUUUUCCCUACUUCUUCACUUCCCAUCACAAAACAAAAACAAAACACCUAUAUAAACUAAAACUCCAAAACAGAUGUAGAAGUGACACAGCCAGAACAAUGAAAUCGAAAUCAGAGUAAAAUCAGUAUGACUCAAAUGCUUCUUCCAUGGGUGUUACUUUGAUUCCACCCAAGGGCCCUGGGGGGCCUUAUCUCACCCACCCACAAGUGCAUCAAAUGCUGCUUUCCAAAGAAGAGAGAGGGGGAAACCCUAUUAUUAUUGCUGCCACUCUUAUUGGGGAAUACUAUUAUUCAGCUAUUAGGUCUGUACCUGCAGAUUAUAUUCAGAAAUCCAAGUCCCCUGAAGUAACUAGCUUUACAUCACAGUGUGAGUAGGAGUAGUGGUACUCUUUAUUCUUUCCCUCUUCCCCAUCCUCAACCCCCAGUUCUCUCCAAUAACCUGAUACCACAGAAAUUACUCAGAUAACUUUAUGAAGAUUAUCUAAUCCUGUAUGAUCCCUUUUCCUAUACAGGUAGUCAUGCUGGCAGAUGUGAUGAAAGCUCAACGAUGACUAAUGCCUCCAUUCUAAAUAAGGAUAACUUGAAAGUCGUCCUUUUGUUCAGCUGUGGCAUCUUCUGCUGGACCAAAUACUCUGAUUCUUUCGCCACUGUUAUCAUGAGAAUGUCAAGACUGAUAUGACCCAAGUUCCUUCAAGUGUUUCAUCUACGGUGUACCUUCAUGUGGCUUUGGAGUCCAAAGGCUGAGGCGCAGAGUCUGUGGCACACGGGGCCUGGGACGCCAGUUGUUACGGGAGGUGCGGCUGUGGCCUGGUGUCGGCGUUCACGCGCAGCGGCAAGACGUCAACUUCACUCAUCUUCAAAGGCGGCGGCGGCAUGGUUAAUGUGGGUUCGCCAGCUGCUUCUGACAGAGGCAGCAAGUUCUAGUUGCUUUGGCGUAAUGCCAGCCCACUUCAGGUUUGACUUUAGCUGAUCCUUGAAUCUUUUCUUUGGUCGGCCUUGUUUCCUGAGUCCAGCUGACAGUUCACCAUAGAAUACCUGUCUUGGUAUUCGCUGUGGGUCCAUGCGGAUGACGUGUCCAGACCAUCGUAGCUGGGUUCUGAGGACCAUGACUUCGAUGCUGAUGGAGUUGGCUCUGUCGAGGACUUCCUGGUUGGUGAUUCUUGUAUCUAUACCCCAGGUCCCAAUCCUAACUAAAUUUCCCUAAAAAAAAAAACCUAUAUCUAUCUGCCUCAGAGGGCAGUAUCUUCUGCUAGGUCGAAACUCUCACCUACUCUCACUAUCUUAAAUAUAAUCACUAUCUACCUACCUUAUCUACCCAAGUUAUUAAUAAUCAAUAAUGCUUUUAA